rnacentral:rRNA from 1 species
CCUACGGGUGGCUGCAGUGAGGAAUAUUGGUCAAUGGGCGAGAGCCUGAACCAGCCAAGUCGCGUGAAGGAUGACGGCUCUACGGGUUGUAAACCUCUUUUGUCAGGGAGCAACGCCGGCUACGUGUAGCCGGACUGAGAGUACCUGAAGAAAAAGCAUCGGCUAACUCCGUGCCAGCAGCCGCGGUAAUACGGAGGAUGCGAGCGUUUUCUGGAUUUAUGGGGUUUAAGGGGUGCGUAGGUGGAAUGCCAAGUCAGCGGUAAAAGCGCGGGGCUCAACCUCGCUCCGCCGUUGAAACUGGCGUUCUUGAGUGGGCGAGAAGUAUGCGGAAUGCGUGGUGUAGCGGUGAAAUGCAUAGAUAUCACGCAGAACUCCGAUUGCGAAGGCAGCAUACCGGCGCCCAACUGACGCUGAAGCACGAAAGCGUGGGUAUCGAACAGGAUUAGAUACCCCUGUAGUC